rnacentral:lncRNA from 1 species
ACGGGGUGCUCUAAGGUCCAGAAUCCUCCAGUUUCUCCAGGAAAUCAGCUUCCUGUCUUUUUAAAGCUGAAAACCCUCAGCUCAUCUCUGUUCAGUCUAGAAUUUUCCUGUUCAGUUUGUUUCUCCAGAGUUCUCUGAGAUUUCGUCUCAGAUCAGCUGACCCGGCGGGGUUGGCGUUUGGUUCCUGCACCUUCCCGCUGGUCACAGGAGGACCGUGAGCUGUGGUGGAAAUCCUCAAAAAUGUGCAGAGCAGCAAAGAAGUAAGAGGAGGGGAGCUGGAGUGCCCUCCAAACACUCGUGCUCAGCGUCCAGGAAAGGAAGGACGUCCUCGCCAACGCCGCGUCUCCCCGCAGACUCCUCAAAGUCCGACACCGGAGCCCAAACCCUCCACUUCGGGGUCGGCGGGCUCCUGAGGCAGCAGGCUGUCUUCGUCGUCGUCGUCGUAGUGCUCCUCGUUGCCGUGGUAACGCCCUCGGUGGGACGGCUCGUGGUGCUCGUAGGGGCCGCGUCUGGAGUCCCGGUCGGCCUCGCUGGCGUGAGAGUGAUGUCUGCGCCUUUUUCUUCUGUGGGAAGCGGGAACGCCGAUGUAGAAGGGCUGAGCUUCUGGAAGACACAGAAGGUUCUGGGACUGAGGGGGCGCCGCUGGUUCUGGCGCCUCGGGGGCCACAAAAAACUCUAAAAUUUGACAGAGGGGCCGGAACAGGAGCAGAUUUUUGGCAUGUUUUGGUAAAUCACCACAUAAAAAGAAAGAAAUAACGCAGC